AUUGAACGCUGGCGGCAUGCCUUACACAUGCAAGUCGAACGGCAGCACGGGUGCUUGCACCUGGUGGCGAGUGGCGAACGGGUGAGUAAUACAUCGGAACGUACCUUAUCGUGGGGGAUAACGCAGCGAAAGCUGUGCUAAUACCGCAUAAGCCCUGAGGGGGAAAGCGGGGGAGCGAAAGACCUCGCGCGAUUAGAGCGGCCGAUGCCUGAUUAGCUUGGUGGUGGGGUAAAAGCCCACCAAGGCGACGAUCAGUAGCUGGUCUGAGAGGACGAUCAGCCACACUGGGACAGAGACACGGCCCAGACUCCUACGGGAGGCAGCAGUGGGGAAUUUUGGACAAUGGGGGCAACCCUGAUCCAGCAAUGCCGCGUGAGUGAAGAAGGCCUUCGGGUUAUAAAGCUCUUUUGUCAGGGAAGAAACACCGGCUCUAACACAGUCCGGGAAUGACGGUACCUGAAGAAUAAGCACCGGCUAACUACGUGCCAGCAGCCGCCGUAA
rnacentral:rRNA from 1 species